rnacentral:tRNA from 1 species
GCCCUCGUAGCUCAGUAGGAUAGAGCGCAGGAUUCCUAAUCCUGAGGCCACAGGUUCGAUCCCUGUCGAGGGCACCA